rnacentral:rRNA from 1 species
CGGUGGUCCCACCUGACCCCAUGCCGAACUCAGAAGUGAAACGCCGUAGCGCCGAUGGUAGUGUGGGGUCUCCCCAUGUGAGAGUAGGGAACUGCCA